UAGGAAAUAAUAUAAUGGGAGUAUGGAGGACUUUGAUUCCUCUAGUGUAGGUUCGACUCCUACUUUUCUAA
ensembl:Mt_tRNA